CCCGGGCCCGCGGGCCUGCGGCGCCCCCGCCUCUGACUCCGCGCUCCCAGGGCCGCCCCCACGCCGGGAGGGGGCGCGAGGGGGCGCCUGUGGCUCGGUUCGGACACCUUCUCCCGCCUCCUGCCGCGCACCCCGGCCUCGGGCUCCGCGCAGCGUGACAGCUCCUCGGGUUUGGAGAGAAGGGUGACGGAAGGGUCAGAACCCGGGCGAGAACUCCCCACUGCACACACUCACCUGAGGGCGGGGGGAAAUAGAUGAGAAAACUGAGGCACAAAUCGGGGAAGAAACUAGUUCAGCAUAUACAGCUAGCAAGUCAUUCCAAGAGCGGACAGUUAAGAAGAUGCUGAACCAGGAGCUUACAAUCAGCAUUUGACAAAUCUUCACUGAGCCUCUACUGUGUGCCAGGUCCUGGCACAGAAGGUUGCUGAUUCCAGGACAAAUCAGACCUUAUUCCUGACCUCCAUCUGCUUAGUCUCAAGAAGAGGGAAGGAAAAUAAAGAGACAAAUAUAAUACAGUGUGAAAAGUACAACAGUGGUCCAAUUUCAGUUCAUGAACUCAGAGCCAGAAAAGGGAAGUAGCCUUGAGACAAUAUCCUAAGAUAAGACUUCCGGGUAACAGAAAUUAGCAAGAAUGAAAAACAACCCAAGGAGCUUCCCCCACGUCCGCCAUCAGAACAGCUAAGCUCAAGACAAGUGACAACAUCAAGUGUUGGCCAGGAUGUGGAGCCCCUGGAACUCUCAUACACACCUGGUGGAGAUGCAAAAUGGUACAGGUACUUUGGAAAACUGCUUGGCAACUUUAAUAAACAAAGAUCGGCUUGAGGUCCAGAAAUUCCACUCAUAGGUAUGUCUCCGAGAGAAAUGAAAACACGUCCACAAAAACUGUACGUAAAUCUUAACAGCUUUAUUCAUAAUAGUCCAAGCCGGAGACAACCUAACUAUCUACUCAAAUAGGAGUUUGAAUAAACAGUGUGGUAAAUCCAUAGUAUGGGAUACCACACAGUAAUCAAAGUGGAUGAAUGAUUGCUGCCCACAACAACACAGAAGAAAAAAAUCAUUAUGUUGAAUAAGAGAAACCAAAUGCAAAAAAAAAAAAAAAAAA